GUCAAAGGUGCCAAUUUGUGCUCGUAUACCUUCACUCGAGAAAGUUUACAGCAAAUGAUUACAAGUGCCCUUUAUUUUGUAGAGAUUUCCCUCCCUCUUUUACCACUUUGCUUUUCCUUUCUUCCUAAUCAUACUUGUCCACCACCACCACCAAACACAGUUUUUGGUCUCGCUACCCUUCUUCCCCACUUCAACACACUAUCAAGACAGAAGAACCGAAGACUGGGAGCUUCCUUCACGCCUGCCAUAACCCUCUGAUGUGUUCAUCUUUGACACAAGCGAUAGUGGGGGAGGGGAGAUUCAAACUCGGCACCUCAGAUGCAAAGGCAUUGUAAAGAAAUCUGAUGAGUUGCCGAACAAGUUUCAAUUUGAGGUGAUUUACCAUUCCCGGGGACUUCCUUGAUGCUAUGCCCGUUAUGCUGGUCUUGCAGAUUCUCUACAUUGUGAGCAUUCUGAAUCAACACAGUAAACGGAGGUCUUAGCUGCUGAUUUAUCUUUCCACACUGAUCAGGUAGUCUGUCCCCAGAGGUGCAAUUUUUGGAGAGAAUAGGGAUGUGGCUUCUCCUGCGUUGCACAAAGAAUGAGUUCUACUACAUUGAGCAGUAACCAAAUCAACAUUUUUGUACAUAGAUUAAAGAUGUAAUUUUACCUCAUCUUCUUAGGUGGUGCUGUUGUUUCUGUUGUUCCAUCUGUAUUGAAUCCAUUUCGUAUUAUGACCCUUUUGUCAUUUUGAUUAAUGUACGAAUUUGCAUUUUCUUUA